rnacentral:tRNA from 1 species
GGGUUGGUGGAAGGAUGGUUUAAACCAUUGGUUUUCGACCAAUACAACCCGGGUUCGAUUCCCGCAUUGGGCA